GCUUGCGUGUGUUCUCAUUGGCCACACCGUGUGUCCUCAACGGAAAAUUACCUGUUGGAAGGAGAGCAGAAACGCGGAGAAACGAAGUUGGAAAACAGAUUUAAAGCAAUGUUGGAACCCUUCCCUCGGUUUGUCAGUCCUGUGAAAAUACUCAAUUACCCAAGACGCAUGGAUGUGAAACAAGCUUUAAAGCUAUUUUUUGUCGAACACGAGUGAGACUGGAUGGGAACACACCUGCGGCGCUAAGGAUUCAAACUGGAACCAUCACAGAGGGAAGAGACAGACAUGAAGAUGCUGUCAGGUCUUCAGCUGCUGUCGUCUUCUCCUCCUGCACAGACAACAACACACAUUGAUCACACAAACUCAUCUGUAAGUCCAAACAGUUUUUUACAUUUAGUGACUAGACUGACAGUUUGA